UACCAUUUUUUUUAAAGCAUCUUAAUUGAGUUUAUUACGUAUUUAAUUAUAUAAAUUAAAUUCUCAAAAAAAAAAAAAAAAGAAAAAGAAAGAAAGAAAGAUGACAUUCCAAUGAGAUCUUCAGGAUGCUUUUCCAAAUUCCAAUAUCAAUUCUACUCAGCUUGCUUGCUGCAAGUUCAAGCUGUUGAAGGUUAAGAUAAACAGAGGAAGCUUGCUUUUGUCCGUUUCUAGGAUUCCAGAGUCUCAGUCUGAAGGAUCUACAUCAUCCCAUGAUAUUGAAUCCCAAUUAGUUUGCAAGAUCGAAAACGGUUGCAAAUAUGAUUAGUUUGACUUCAUAUCCGAAUCUGUUAUUCAUUAUCUGAUUUCACUGUGUCGUGUAUAGAUGAAUGGAAAUCUGGAGGACAUGUUUGUAGUCUUGUCUGCAGUCUUCAGACUUCAAUUAAGGAUAUGAUCUUCGACUUGGUACCUAGAAUUUUAUAGUUUAGUUAUUACAUGGUCAACAUAUUGGGAAGUACUCCUAUAGAAUAUGUAUCUGCUAUGGAUGCAUAAAUUAUCAAUGUGAAACAAUUUAUAGAAUAAGAUGAUUUCAAGAAAUAAGCCUAAGGAAUAUUGUCAUUUUUGCAAUGAGAUGAAAAAGCUUUUUCCCGAACACGAGUAUUACAAGUUUCUGCGGUUGAUCUCUGAACUGUUUAGUCCAAUGAUCACUUUACUUUCCAUCAAUAAUCACUAUAGAUAGUGAAAGACAACCCUAAGUUUAUCAAUAUUAUAUCUGAUUCCACUUAAGCAAUUUUGGAAAUACUCUGUAUGUUCUUGCAGUUAAACUUGUGGAAAUACUUUACAUUGGUUGCAGUUUUACUAAACUGGAGCAUAAUUCAAUUGCAUAAUUUUCAUAUUACAUUGUUAAGGAUACAUUCAAAUGAGUUACAUGAUGUUUUUGGUUCUCGAGUAAACAUAGUACAACUUGUUCCCCAGUUCGCGGUUUGUCUCAAGGAUAAGCUCUUCAAUAUCCCUGUUUUUUUAAUCUUCUCAGCUCUCCAGUUCAGACACUAAAAUUUGUGCAUUGUGGAGCUAAGCUUGCUGUGGGCUUUAAAUGUGGUGAUAUUCUUCAUGGAUCAUCUAGAGAAAAUAUUUUUGAAGUCUCCACACACAGAUGCAUCUUCAUCAGCACAUCAGGAAGUAGAUGUGGAGCUCGAUAGUUGAUAUAGGCUCUGUGCAGACUGUAAAGUCUCCACUUGUGGCAAACGAGCUUGUCAAGACACCGGAAAAUUGAAAAUGGUGGCAAAUAUGAUCAAUUUGGAUUCAUGCUCUGUAUUUUUACUCGGUUAUGUGUAGGGGAAUGGAGUACUGAGUACCACUCCAAGCAUCUGGACAUAUUUUUAGUCCAUGGUCAGUGAGAAUCCAGAGGACAUAGUUCAGUCGGUGGUCUGCGGUUAGCCUUUCUAUUAUGGAUAUGAUCUGCAACUUGGUACCAGGAUUCAAUAGUUUAGUUUCCUUGCAAAGUUACAAUUUAUAGGUGCUGUUUAUUGUUUUUAGUGCAAAUUAUUAGGCUCGAUGUUUUUUUAGGAUUGUUGAAUAUUUUAAUAAGAUGUGGGAACAAUACACCCGUACAAACAAUAAUAAAAUUAUUCACAACUCUCUCUCUA